rnacentral:rRNA from 1 species
CCUACGGGAGGCAGCAGUGGGGAAUAUUGCACAAUGGGGGAAACCCUGAUGCAGCGACGCCGCGUGAGUGAAGAAGUAUUUCGGUAUGUAAAGCUCUAUCAGCAGGGAAGAAAAUGACGGUACCUGAUUAAGAAGCCCCGGCUAACUACGUGACAGCAGCCGCGGUCAUACGGAGGGGGCAAGCGUUAUCCGGAUGUACUGGGUGUAAAGGGAGCGUAGACGGCAGCACAAGUCAGGAGUGAAAUGCCGGGGCUUAACCCCGGAACUGCUUUUGAGACUGGGCAGCUAGAGUGCAGGAGAGGUAAGUAGAAUUCCUAGUGGAGCGGUGAAAUGCGUAGAUAUUAGGAGGAACACCAGAGGCGAAGGCGGCUUACUGGACUGUAACUGACGUUGAGGCUCGAAAGCGUGGGGAGCAAACAGGAUUAGAUACCCCUGUAGUC